UAGGGAAUCUUCCACAAUGGACGCAAGUCUGAUGGAGCAACGCCGCGUGAGUGAAGAAGGCUUUCGGGUCGUAAAACUCUGUUAUUGAAGAAGAACGUGUGUGACAGUAACUGGUCAUGCAGUGACGGUAUUCAAUCAGAAAGUCACGGCUAACUACGUGCCAGCAGCCGCGGUAAUACGUAGGUGGCAAGCGUUGUCCGGAUUUAUUGGGCGUAAAGCGAGUGCAGGCGGUCUUUUAAGUCUGAUGUGAAAGCCUUCGGCUUAACCGAAGAAGGGCAUCGGAAACUGGGAGACUUGAGUGCAGAAGAGGAGAGUGGAACUCCAUGUGUAGCGGUGAAAUGCGUAGAUAUAUGGAAGAACACCAGUGGCGAAGGCGGCUCUCUGGUCUGUAACUGACGCUGAGGCUCGAAAGCGUGGGUAGCAAACAGGAUUAGAUACCCUGGUAGUCCACGCCGUAACGAUGAAUACUAAGUGUUGGAGGGCUUUC
rnacentral:rRNA from 1 species